rnacentral:misc_RNA from 1 species
UGGUUCUGGCAUCGAUGAAGAACGCAGCGAAAUGCGAUAAGUAAUGCGAAUUGCAGAAUUCCGUGAGUCAUCGAAUCUUUGAACGCACAUUGCGCCCUUUGGCAUUCCGAAGGGCAUGCCUGUUCGAGCGUCAUUAUCAACCCUCAAGCUUAGCUUGGUGUUGGGCUACGGUCGUCAUUUACCGGCCCUAAAAGGCAACGACGGCGUCUCCGGGACCCCUGGUACAAUGAGCUUUUAAGAGGCACGUACUGUGGUGGGCUCGGGACGCAGUCUCACUAUUUAUUUGUCAGGUUGACCUCGGAUCAGGUAGGGAUACCCGCUGA